GUCCAGGCUGGCCUCAAACUUGUGAGUCUCCUGCCUCGGCCUCCCAACUAGCAGGAACUACAGACUGAUGAGUUGGAGAAAUGCUUCUUGUAACCUUAAGCUGAUCUUCCUGGUUGGGCAAGUGGCUGAGAUGAAAGAACUGAGGCAUGGGGAAAUUAAGCAACUCUUACAAGAUUACCCAAUCGGUCAAAUGUUAAAUAGUGCUGAGUUGGACUACCUUUAACCAGAGAAUGGGGAAACGUUCAUGAUACGUUUUGGAAUUAUACUCACCGGGACUGUUUUUCUUUCUUGAUAACACUCCACGAAGAGCAAGGAGCGGCUGGGUCCUCCAAGGCUCCAUGAGACCUUGAUACUAUAUCUGGCUACAGAGUCCACCAGGACUAGGGCUUCAACUUGGCUUAAGAACUACAAUUUCCUGCUCUAGCAACACAAUUAGCACCUUUCACAGUAGCACAGAUGUGGAAUCAACCUACAUGUCCAUGAAAGGAUGAAUGCAUGCGGAAAAUGUGGUAUGUACAUAACAUAGAAUAUUACUCAGAUAUAAAAGGAAGGAAAUCUUACCAUCUGUGACAACAUGGGUAACUUAGAGGACAUUUUGCUAAGGG